GUCAACCUCGAUAUGGACCGAGGUGUUUUGUAUUGGACCGACCAUCUUUAUAAAAUGUCUCUUUAAUGAAAGUUUGUUUUCUUAGUCACUGUGUCCACAAAGACCGUAGAUUGGCCACUUUAUUAUGAUAGAGUUCAAUAUCUGACUUAUGUUAAACACCAUAGAGGCCAUUCAUUUGUUUUGUGUCAUUUUCUUGGUGAUAAGGAGUAGGAAUCGAUCAUUUUUGGGUGCUGUCAUAGCUCGAUAGGAGAAAGGUCGGAAUAGAGAUACUCAUUCCUCGACUAUAAUCAAGAAGAAUGUAAAGAUCGAAUGGAGGCUGGAAAGUUCGUAUGGAGAUGCACACCGAUCCUCAAUCAUGGUUGAGGAUAUUAUGAAUCGAGAGCCAUAUAAAGAACACAUCUCGAUCCUCGACCAUAAUCAAGGAGCAUGUGUUUGGAGAGCCACAUGAAGAAUAUAUUUCAAUCUUUGACCGUAGUCAAGGAGUGCAUGUUCGGAGAGCCGCAUAGAGAACACAUUCUGAUCCUCAGCCAUGGCUGAGGAGCAGGUGUUGGAAGAACAGCAUAAAGAUGCAUACCACUCCUUGGCCAUGGUCAAGAAAAGUAUGAGCCACAGAGUACCAUGGAGAUGCAUACUGCUCCUUGACUAUGGUCGAGAAAUACAUGGAUAGAGAGUAGCAUAGAGAUGCAUACUACUCCUCGAUCGUGGCCGAGGAGUGCACGAGUAGGAGAGCAACAUGGAAAUGCAUAUCACUCCUCGACUGUGACCAUGGAGCACACGAGUCAGAGAGCAAUAUGGAUAUAUGUAUCGCUCCUCGAUCAUGGCCGAGGAGUGCACGGAAGGAAAGUAGUAUAGAGAUGCAUACUGCUCUUCGAUCGUGGUUGAGAAGUGCGUGAGUCAAAGAGCAGCAUCGAGAUACAUGCCAUUCCUCGAUCGUGGUCGAGGGGCACACGAGUCGGAGACCUACAUGGAGAUCAUGGAGAGCACGUUCCGCACCUCGUUUGUGGACAAGGAAUGUAUGUUUGGAAAAAAUACAGUUUGAUAAAUUUUUUUUUAUUAUUUAAUAAAAAAAUAUAAUUC
rnacentral:lncRNA from 1 species